rnacentral:rRNA from 1 species
CCUACGGGAGGCAGCAGUGGGGAAUUUUGGACAAUGGGCGCAAGCCUGAUCCAGCCAUUCCGCGUGCAGGAUGAAGGCCCUCGGGUUGUAAACUGCUUUUGUACGGAACGAAAAGGCUCUGGUUAAUACCUGGGGCUCAUGACGGUACCGUAAGAAUAAGCACCGGCUAACUACGUGCCAGCAGCCGCGGUAAU